UUUGAAAUCUUUUUUGAAAUCUUGUCUUCAUUUUCUGUUCUUUUCCCAUUUUGUCUAUCUGCUCUUCUUCAUUUCUAUCUUUCUCCCUAUUUAUUGUCCUCUGAUUUUGCUCUAUUUCAGAAUAUUUUUAAUCACUCCUUGCAUUUAAAUUCACUUUUUUCCCCAUCUUUCCCAUCCCUUCCAAUGUUUUUGCUUCCUCUUCUGUUGUAUUUGUACCCUUCCUCCCUUCCUCCCUCCAGAGAACAGCUUUGUGGUUUAAGUGGGCACUGGCAGCAGAGUGAAACUGACUAAACUCAAUUUCACUUUGCUGCAGGUGUCACUCUAGCAGAUUGGUAAAGGACAACGAUGCAGGCAACAAAGAGAUGUGGAGGAAUUUAUGAUAAAAGAAUGUCAUCAGGUUUCCAAAUAAAACCAAAGACUGCAAUACAGAAAAGCAAGACAUCUUCGUCUCCUUCAUCUAGUUCUCCAGAUCUUGUGGUUAAGCCACAACCAAGGCCUAGUGAUAAACUUAACCCCAAAACUAUUGAUCCGUUUGGGGAUCAUUCAAAAGCUCCUUCUGCGUUUUCUGCCAUUUACUCUAAAGGUGGUAUACCUUGCAGGUUGGUUCAUGGCUCAGUAAAACACAAAUUACAGUGGGAAUGUCUUCCUGAAACUCUUCCAUUUGAUCCUCUUCUUAUUACUUUAGCUGAGGGUUUAAGAGAGACAAAACACCCAUAUACAUUUGUAUCCAAGGAGGGCUUUAAGGAAUUACUCUUGGUUGAAGAUGCUAUUGAAAAAGCAAUUCCCUUGUUGCCUCGUCUAGUUCCAGUGUUAAAGGCUGCUCUGGCCCAUUCAAACGGUGAAGUAUUUGAAAGAGGAUUGAAUGCUUUGGUACAGCUGAGUGCCAUUGUUGGCCCUGCUCUUAAUGAUCAGCUGAAACACCUACUCACAAGCAUUUCAAAGAGGUUAAUGGACAAGAAAUUCAAAGAGCAGAUCACUGUUGCGUUACAAAAGCUAGAGCAGUAUGGUGGAAAGGAGAGUGUUGCUAUCAUCAAAUCUAAAAUUCCAACCUAUUGUUCCAUCUCCUCGUGAACGAGAGACUCCUCUAGUCAUUUACACUGCAUGGUGUGGUUGUGGGCGUCAGAAGCUGACUGUGGAUGCUGUUGGAAUUUCCUUAUGUAAACAGACCACUGAUACAGAUAUUAGACUGUCUAGAUAUUACUGCAUUCUGAGCACUGAAGUGAGAUGGAUGCUUCAAAAGACCAUUAUCUCCUUUUUUCCUCAGUAAAACCGGAAUUUCGCAUGGAAUACCUAGAGAUGCAAGUAAAAAAACUGACAAAGUCCAUACCAUCUUUUAUAUUUCCUGUGCAGCUUUCGGGAUACAAGGUGUUUAUAAAUUGUUGCUCGUGGAUAGACAUGCUUUUCCUAGUCUUGUUUACCCCUUCUCUCAUAUACCAAAAGGGCAAUACAUUGACUCUUAUAGUUGAUUUUCCUAAUCUCCUUUCCCCUAUCCAAGGAAACCCAAAUAGAGCUAGUAUGUCCAUUGAAAUCUACUGUACUUUACUGUAUUUAUUGGUAGACAGAAUUGAUGGUUUUAGUUUGUUCUAGCCAUUGACAGUUCUUUUCUCAAGAAAAUCAAUCUGAAUGAUCUAAUCAAUUGUUGCUAGCCCUUUUUCCAGUUUGGAUCUCAACACUUGAUCUAAUGUGGUUAUGACACCCUCUGUAUGUACCCAUGUUCCUCUAAUAGCUUGUAACCUUUUACAAUGUACAAAUAACAAGUAGCUUUGGUGUUUUCUGCAAUUUUAUUAUGAAAAAAUUAAUACUUAUUUUUAUAAGGCUGUCUUGUCUAACUGUAGACAAGUUCUUAAAUAAUAGCACAUUCAGUUAUCCUACAGUGAAUAAAUGUGAAUUCUGGCAGAUAUUUACCCAGCACAAGGCUCAAAUAAAUAUUCACAUAACAAACAAUUUAUUGUCUACUACAUGGUAACUUUGCACGGAAAGAGAGGAUGCAAACACACUAGUAGAAUAGGUGAACAUUAGCUUUUCAAAAACUAUCACCUCUAUGAAUACAAAUAUUGUACAUGUUUGCAUAUGUAACUGACUGUUUUGUAGAACAGUUUGCCAGACACAUUUUUUUGUAAAGGUGCCUUGGGAAAUGUGGUCCCUGGUGCCUAGAAGUGUAAGCUACAUCUUUACACCCAAAUCCUAAUUGGUAGUACCGUGUGACAACCACUUAGCCAGCUGAUAGGAGUAACUAAAUCAAUUUAUCAUUACUUACUUUUUGGCAGCUUUCAAUGAAUUCAUCUAUGGUAACUACCCCAUCUUUAUUCUUGUCCAUUUUCUGUCCAGAAAAAAAUAAGAACAUUUGCUUAAAUCAUGGAAAAAUCCUACUUAAAAUCACUUAUUUUAUUUACUUUUUUUCAGAGUUAUAUUGCAGGCUGGUGGCCACCCAGGUCAGGAUAUCAUUUUGCUAGACACUAUAAGUACAAUUCAGUCCCUGCCUCAGAGAGCUUCCAGUCUAUAAAAGUCAAGACAUGACAGAUCAGACAGACAAGUAGGUUGGGAUGGGGGCACAGGGAAGAUAGAGUAACAAAAAUAAUAGGAUGUGCAAAAUUGUUUGCCAAUCAAAACAUGGGAUUUUUCUUGUAGACCAUCCUUUUUUGUUGUUUUGCCCUACCUGGAAAAAUGUUUCCACAUGUUGUCUAGGGGUGUCCUCUUUGAGAACAGGAUAAGUGCAUUUUCCCAUCAUAUCAUAUAUAGCUUUCAUAAUAUCAAGCAUUUCCUGAAGAGAAAAACAUGUUUAUGUAAAUGUUUCUUUUGAGCAUUUAUAGUUUAGAAGAAAUAUUUAAGACUGUGCCACAGUCAAAUUGUGAUUGAACAACUUCAGGAAUGUAAUGCACACGGAUCACUUUGAAGUUUAAAUUAGCUACUGCAGCUUCCAUACGUUCUACAAUAGAGAGAAAUAGAUAAAACAUCUUAAAUAACUGAAAACCGUUAAGUAGAUGCAGAUUUAUGCUUCUGAAUUUAAAUGCUUUAUGAUAUCUAAAAGUCCACUGAUAUUGUGGAAAGAAAGCUCCUGUGGACCAGUAAGUGGAAACAAACAAACAGAAAAUUUGUAGCAGAAGGCAAUUGGGCAAAAUCACAUCGCCUCCUUGUGUGUGAGUUUCCCCAGCUUUUGUAAGGUGCUUUGAGAUAUGUCGCUGAACAGUGCUCUAUAAGAAUGAUUACAAACAUGUAACUCAUCUGUCAGUAUGCUGAAUAAAAUACUGUAAUU